rnacentral:lncRNA from 1 species
GAAUCUCUCCUGUUCACGCAUUAUUUUGUUGCAGGGAAUCUCUCCUGUUCACAUCAUUUCUUGCAGGGAAUCUCUCCUGUUCAUGUAUUAUUUCUUUUUGGACCUGGUGAUGGUUACCGAAGUGGUAUCAUCUGCAAGAUCCACCGUUUUGAUUGAGGAUGCCGGAGAUUCAUCUUCAGAUUCGGAGUCCAAUGAGCUGAGCAUUUCAGCCAUGAGUUUUUUGUAUUCUUUUUUGGUCUUGGCUUGAGCUAACAUUGCACUGGCUGUUGACUUUGCUUGAAGAAAUUUUGCUGUGGUUUGAUCCGGGGCUGCAGACUUACAUAAUCUUGGAUUCUUGUUGAAAAAAUUAUCCAAAUAUUUU